UACGGGGGGGGCAAGCGUUGUUCGGAAUUACUGGGCGUAAAGGGCUCGUAGGCGGCCAACUAAGUCCGACGUGAAAUCCCAAGGCUUAACCUUGGAACUGCGUCGGAUACUGGAUGGCUUGAAUUCGGGAGAGGGAUGCAGAAUUCCAGGUGUAGCGGUGAAAUGCGUAGGUAUCUGGAGGAAUACCGGUGGCGAAGGCGGCAUCCUGGACCGACAUUGACGCUGAGGAGCGAAAGCUAGGGGAGCAAACGGG
rnacentral:rRNA from 1 species